rnacentral:misc_RNA from 1 species
GGAAGUAAAAGUCGUACAAGGUCUCCGUAGGUGAACCUGCGGAGGGAUCAUUACAGAGUUCAUGCCCUACCGGGUAGAUCUCCCACCCUAUGUUAUUAUUACUUUGUUGCUUUGGCGGGCCGUUAGGCUCCGGCCCGACUACCGGCCCCGGCUGGUAAGCGCCCGCCAGAGGACCCAAAACCCUGAAUAUUAGUGUCGUCUGAGUACUAUAUAAUAGUUAAAACUUUCAACAACGGAUCUCUUGGUUCUG